AAACAAAGUGUAGUUGAUGUGAAUGGGCCAUGAAAUCAAAGCUGAACAGGAAACGAAGUGAAGAAAGAAGUGAAGGUGGUAGGAAGCUAGUAGAUAAGAAAAAAGCUGAGGGUAGUCCAUGAACUUUAUUUUUCAUUUUUUUUUAAUUAUUGAUUUAAUAUUAUUUAAAAUGGUGGGUGAUGUGGGAAGGUAUCCCAACAUGAUCAUGCAGUGGCAUAAUCAUGGCUCACUGCAGCCUUGUCCUCCUGGGCUCAAGACAUCCUCCCGCCUCAGCCUCCAGUGUAGCUGAAACUAUAGGCAUGUGUUACCACACCCAGCUAAUUUUUGAUUUUUUGUGGAGACAGGAUCUCGCUGUGUUGCCCGGGCUGGUCUCAAACUUCUGGACACAAACAAUCCUCCACAUUGGCCUCCCAAAAUGCUGGAAUUACAGGUGUGAGCCACUGGACCAGCAGGACUCUAAAUUUUGGUGCUCAAAAAACAUUUGUUGAGUAAGUGAACCUGAGACUAUCAACAAGCAUUAUUUUAAAAUCACUAGCAAAGGGUCAGAUGAAAGUGAGAUCCAUACAUCCUUCUUCAGCAACUUGUGCCUCUGCUCUGCACCUCCCGCAAUUAACUACUGAAAAAAGAACACAGCUUCACAAAAGAGAUUGUAAAAUCAGGAAGUAUAUCUAAGUCACCUCCAGUAGCCGUAACUCUACCUUGUCCAGUAAAAGGGACAGGACCUCUAUAUGUUGCUCAGGCUGGAGUGUGGCAGCUAUUCACGGAUGUGAUUAUAGUACACUACAGCCUCAACUCCUGGGCUCAAGCAAAGCUUCCCAAAUCGGUGGGACUAUAGGCACACGCCACUGUGCUGUUCAAUAAUAAGAUUUCUGUCUAACACCACUGCGCCUGUUUCCUUGAUAAAUAUUUAUUAUCUGUGUUUAUUUAUUUUAUCCUGGGAGAACAUACAAGAUUUCGGGGUCAGAGAACAGACUGAUUGUUUUAUGUACAGCAAUAACAGCACUGGCUCCCCACUCCCUAUUUCUCCUUUGAAGCCGUGCUGUGAAGGUAGAUGUCAGCCUGCACAUGCAAAGGGGUCGCUGCAUAAGACGAAUCCUGAAAUUGUGUAACUGGGAGUUUAUAUGAAGUGCCUCUCAGCAGCCCCGCCAACCCUCCUCCCUCUAGAGAGGGGAAGAGAAGUCAUCACUGUCUAAUGUGAAGGAAUUCUCUCUGGGAAGGGAGGAGACGGUCCCUAAAUUGUUACAACCCUUUGAAAUGUAAAGGAAGCCUCUGGAUUGUUUCUCAUUCUUUUAAAUGUAAAUAAAUGGCAAAUGGCUCUCAAGGCGAUCAAUUUUUAACUCUAUCUGGA
rnacentral:lncRNA from 10 species